GAAAAGUUUGAUUCUUGCUUUUAUGAUUUUUAAAAUAUGUAUUUUACAUGCGAGAUUUAUCAGGUUAAGUUUUAUUCUAAAAGAUUAUUAUUUUAGAUUCGCAGUUUUUAGUUUUACUUUUUACUGGAGGGUAGAUGAAGACAAUAUUUUUAGUACAGGCUAAAGUUGUGCCAGCAGUCGCGGUUAUACAAUUUGUGCAAGAAAUUAAUUUAGGUUAAUAUUAUAUUUAUUUAUUUUAUUAAAAUAUAUUAUUUUUUGGUGAAAUUUACAAUUAUAUUUUUAUUAUAGGUUAAUUAUUAUAUAUGAAAUUUUUUUUUAAACUAGGAUUAGAUACCCUAUUAUUUGGAAUGUAUUUAGUAAACCGGAGUAUUAAUAGUUAAGGUCUUUAAAUUUAAAGAAUUUGGCGGUAAUUGAUCUUUUCAGAGGAACCUGUCCUGUAAUCGAUAGUCCACGAUAGAUCCCACUAAGAUUGUGCUUAUAUACCUCUGUCAAUGAAUGUAUUAAUAGAUAAUUUUCUUUUUUCUUUAUGGGAAAAAUGUCAGGUCAAGGUGUAGCUAUAUUUUAGUAGAGAUGGGUUACAUUUUUUUUAAAAUUGGUUUAAUUUAUGUAAAUAAAUUAAUAAAUUGGAUUUGAGAGUAAUUUAUAUUAUAUUAUAUUUAUGAUUUAGGCUCUUGAUUAAGUACACAUCGCCCGUCACUCUCACUUUUAAAGUGAGAUAAGUCGUAACAAAGUAGGCCUAUCGGAAGAUGGGCCUUGAAUUAAU
rnacentral:ncRNA from 1 species